rnacentral:rRNA from 1 species
GAUGAACGCUGGCGGCGUGCCUAACACAUGCAAGUCGAACGGACUCAUAUUGAAACCUAGUGAUUUAUGAGUUAGUGGCGGACGGGUGAGUAACGCGUGGAAAACCUGCCGUAUACCGGGGGAUAACACUUAGAAAUAGGUGCUAAUACCGCAUAAGCGCACAGCUUCGCAUGAAGCAGUGUGAAAAACUCCGGUGGUAUACGAUGGUUCCGCGUCUGAUUAGCUAGUUGGCGGGGUAACGGCCCACCAAGGCAGCGAUCAGUAGCCGGCCUGAGAGGGUGAACGGCCACAUUGGGACUGAGACACGGUCCAA